rnacentral:rRNA from 1 species
UACGUAGGGUGCGAGCGUUAAUCGGAAUUACUGGGCGUAAAGCGUGCGCAGGCGGUUCGUUGUGUCGGCGGUGAAAGCCCCGGGCUCACCUGGGAAUGGCCGUUGAAACUGGCGAACUGGAGUGUGGCAGAGGGGGUGGAAUUCCGCGUGUAGCAGUGAAAUGCGUAGAGAUGCGGAGGAACACCGAUGGCGAAGGCAGCCCCCUGGGCUGACACUGACGCUCAGGCACGAAAGCGUGGGGAGCAAACAGG